rnacentral:rRNA from 1 species
GACGAACGCUGGCGGCGUGCUUAACACAUGCAAGUCGAGCGGUAAGGCCCUUUCGGGGGUACACGAGCGGCGAACGGGUGAGUAACACGUGGGUGACCUGCCCUCAGCUCUGGGAUAAGCCUGGGAAACCGGGUCUAAUACUGGAUAUGACUCCAUGACGCAUGUUGUGGGGUGGAAAGCCUUGUGCGGCUGAGGAUGGGCCCGCGGCCUAUCAGCUUGUUGGUGGGGUGANGGCCUACCAAGGCGACGACGGAUAGCCGGCCUGAGAGGGCGACCGGCCACACUGGGACUGAGACACGGCCCAGACUCCUACGGGAGGCAGCAGUGGGGAAUCUUGCGC